rnacentral:rRNA from 1 species
UACGUAGGGGGCUAGCGUUGUCCGGAUUUAUUGGGCGUAAAGCGCGCGCAGGCGGCUUACCAAGUCGGUCGUGAAAUCUCUCGGCUCAACCGGGAGGGGUCGGGCGAAACUGGUAGGCUUGAGGAUGGUAGGGGCAAGCGGAAUUCCCGGUGUAGUGGUGGAAUGCGUAGAUAUCGGGAGGAACACCAGUGGCGAAGGCGGCUUGCUGGACCAUUUCUGACGCUGAGGCGCGAAAGCGUGGGGAGCGAUCCGG